CAGUAGGGAGGAAGGUAGUGUAGUUAACACCUGCAUUAUUUGACGUUACCUACAGAAGAAGCACCGGCUAACUCCGUGCCAGCAGCCGCGGUAAUACGGAGGGUGCGAGCGUUAAUCGGAAUUACUGGGCGUAAAAGCGCAUGCAGGCGGCCUGUUAAGUCAGAUGUGAAAAGCCCGGGCUUAAACCUCGGAAAUUGCAUUUUGAAAAACUGGCAGACUAGAGUACUGUAGGAGGGGGUAGAAUUUCAGGUGUAGCGGUGAAAAUGCGUAGAGAUCUGAAGGAAUACCGGUGGCGAAGGCGGCCCCUGGACAGAUACUGACACUCAGAUGCGAAAGCGUGGGGAGCAAACAGGAUUAGAUACCCUGGUAG
rnacentral:rRNA from 1 species